rnacentral:rRNA from 1 species
CCUACGGGAGGCAGCAGUGAGGAAUUUUCCGCAAUGGGCGAAAGCCUGACGGAGCAAUACCGCGCGAGGGAUGAAGGAUUUUGGUCUGUAAACCUCUUUUCUCAAGAAAGAAGUUCUGACGGUACUUGAGGAAUAAGCAUCGGCUAACUCCGUGCCAGCAGCCGCGGUAAUACGGGGGAUGCAAGCGUUAUCCGGAAUGAUUGGGCGUAAAGCGCCUGUAGGUUGUUUAUUAAGUCCGUUGUUAAAGCCUAGGGCUCAACCCUAGAAAAGCAAUGGAAACUAGUAGACUAGAGUAUGGCAGGGGUAGAGGGAAUUUCUAGUGUAGCGGUGAAAUGCGUAGAUAUUAGAAAGAACACCGGUGGCGAAAGCGCUCUACUGGACCAUUACUGACACUCAGAGGCGAAAGCUAGGGUAGCAAAAGGGAUUAGAUACCCCUGUAGUCCUAGCCGUAAACGAUGGGUACUAGAUGUUGUGCAUUAUGUACAGUAUCGUAGCUAACGCGUUAAGUAUCCCGCCUGGGGAGUACGCUCGCAAGGGUGAAACUCAAAGGAAUUGACGG